CUGAGUUGCUCAACGGUUCAAUUCCUCAUGCCAUCCAUGCAUUUUGUCUCACAUGUGGAGGAUGUGCUGUCUGUAUUUUUUUUUUUAGAUUAAUGAAGGGGAGUUGUAAACCAACAAUGGAGAUGGACUUAGCACAUCUAUUUCCUAAGGAACCAGUCUAUACAUGGUUGUCCUUCACAGGGUCUGGAUUCAGGAGUCUGUGUCAGGAGUUUCCUGGGAGAGUUUGCCAGAGCUUCAGCAGAGCAUUGGGUUGGCCCCCAAGAGGAAGGGCUAUGUGAGCACUUAAAUGAUGAAUACCAUACAGGAUGUUUCACUGUCUGCAAGCCCCUGUGUUCUUCCUGCUCAUCCCAUCUCAACCAGAGGUCCUCUGAAGAAGUUUGCAGUGAACUGACCCUUUGUGGAUCUCUCACCCAGUGUGGCAGCAAUCAGUUUAUGAGACUCCGUCGUGGGAGGACCCAUCAGAGUGUGAUCUGGACUGAAUGUGAAGAGGAGGGAAAGGAACUGCCAUGCUGUUGGGGAGUCUGGGCAGGCAGGUGGCUUCCCAGCAGCACUCCAGAAGCAGUGAGGCUGAUCAGAAGUGGCAGCUGGUAACCUGGAGCCUUUGAACAUGGGAACCCUGGGGACUCAAGAGGGAGGGAAGAAGAGUUGAAGGAAAUCAGAUCUUUCAAUUUCAGUUCUCUGAAAAGUACAACUCUCAUUGAAGAGCUCAACUCCAAUCUCUUAUUUCUCCCCUUUCCUCUCUCCCUCCUCUACUGAUCUCUGUGUCAUUUCAACCACUCCCAUAAAGUAAUUUAUUUGUGUCAAGUGGUUCUUUGUAAUAUAAGGAGUCAUAUAGUAAACAAAAUCCAUUAAAAAUAUCCUCACACUCUGUCCUAAAGUAGUAGCUGGACUUUGGGGGGCUUCUUUUGGAUCCAGCUGACUUUGUCUGGUUUGUACCGGAGAGGGGGAGAAACAGCAGGUAAAGAUACUAACAGAAAGACGGAGACAGAAUAGAGUCAGGAGGUCAAUCCAGUGAAUACUGAACACCUCAAGUUUAUUCUCCAACAUUCUUAUAUGCCCCAACCAAAAGGGGGAAAAUGAUAAAAGACUUCUUUAUCAUGUUACAAGGAAGAAACAGACUUUCUUCUUUAAUUCUCCAAACAUAUACUAACCAUGCCUUAGGCUAAAUCUCUGAUUAUUUGACCUUGAGGGUUAAAAGUAACUACACCUCAGACCAAGUCUCUUGUUAUUUAGACAAGACAUCCACGAGUAAGACCAAACAUUCUAUAGUAGCCAUGCCUUAGACCUUUAGGUCUUAUAACUUUAACUUUGGAAGAGUAAAGAUGGUUUUGAACUCUGUGAACUUAAGUCAAGAUGAAUCAAAGCCAUUUUUAUGGACUCUGACAUCCUAUAACACUACAUCCCAGCUAUUGCUUUUUGUUUGUUUGUUUUUUAUUAUUGGAUUUCUCUGUGUAACUUUGGCUAACCUGGAACACACUUUGUACACUCACUUUGAACUCAGAUAUCUGCCUUCCUCUGCCUAUUGAGUGUUAGGAUUAUAGGCAUGAGUCACCACAGUCUAGCUUGUCCCAGCUCUUUAUGGCAACUGCUA
rnacentral:lncRNA from 1 species